rnacentral:rRNA from 1 species
UACGUAGGGUGCGAGCGUUGUCUGGAAUUAUUGGGCGUAAAGAGCUCGUAGGCGGUUUGUCGCGUCGACUGUGAAAACCCGAGGCUUAACCUCGGGCCUGCAGUCGAUACGGGCAGACUAGAGUUCGGUAGGGGAGACUGGAAUUCCUGGUGUAGCGGUGAAAUGCGCAGAUAUCAGGAGGAACACCGGUGGCGAAGGCGGGUCUCUGGGCCGAUACUGACGCUGAGGAGCGAAAGCGUGGGGAGCGAACAGG